UACGUAGGGUGCGAGCGUUGUCCGGAAUUAUUGGGCGUAAAGAGCUCGUAGGCGGUGUGUCGCGUCGGCCGUGAAAACCUGGGGCUUAACUCUGGGCGUGCGGUCGAUACGGGCAUCACUAGAGUUCGGCAGGGGAGACUGGAAUUCCUGGUGUAGCGGUGAAAUGCGCAGAUAUCAGGAGGAACACCGGUGGCGAAGGCGGCAUCCUGGACCGACACUGACGCUGAUGAGCGAAAGCCAGGGGAGCAAACGGG
rnacentral:rRNA from 1 species